AUGUUUUGUACAUUUUAUAUAUUAUUAUUUAUAUCUUCUCAUAUUCCUAGAUUAAGUUUUUUUUUUAUAAUAAUUAAUUUAUUGUUUAAUAUGUGGUACGAAAUUCGUUAAAAGAAUGUUUUUUUUUUUAAAUCAAAUAAGAUUAUUUCUUGUUAAUUUUUAAUUCACGUAAGGUUUUAUUGUUGUCAAAGAAGCUCAAAGUUUAGUUAUUUUAAUUCAUGUGUGAAUUUGCUAGUAAAUAGUACCAUAAUGUUGAUUGUGAUACAGGUAGAAAUAAAUUAAGACAACAACCGCAGCUUCCUUUACAGCGGUCUAAUAGUUAUUGUUGUUAAUGUCGACCAAGUCUUGUUGACAAUGAAUAAGAGUUGUUGAUUGCUGUAAAGAUAGAAAUGGUUGUAAUGGGGAAUUAUAGGCUUACAAUAUUUUUCAUGGUGGUAUUGGACUAGAAUACAAAAACACACAGCCUUGAACUGUUAACGAGAAUGUACGAAAAAGUAUGUCAUAUGGUAAAACUGUUAAAGUGAAUGUAAACCUUGAAUUC
rnacentral:lncRNA from 1 species